rnacentral:lncRNA from 1 species
CUGAUAUUUUCCAGAGUACAAUCAAAGGGUGUGCUUUCUGAUAACAGCAAUAUAGUAGUCGAUAUCCAUGACUUUAGGCUUCUCACAAAGGAGAACCGAACAAUGUUGCUAGAAAGUAUGAAUCAUCAUCAAUUUAUCACAAAUGUCAAAGCUUUGUUAUAAAUGGGGAGAUUGAGUUCUUCCUCCCCCAAACUACAACUCAAAAGUAUCCAAUUCCAAACCGAAAGGGGCUUACAAAAUGAGCGAAAUGGCUCGAAGCAUGUUAGGACGAAAUCGGCAGAGAUGAUGUCUAUCUAUGGCAACUAGACAAUCUGGAUCAAAAGAUCCAUUAGGGAGAAAAUUUACAACAAACUAGACAAUGCUGUUAAACUUUCAUUUCUAUACUACAAACGGACCAAACGGCUUCAUUCCCUACCACUCUCCGCAAUCUCAAACUAUGAUCAACCCCCCACAAAGCUUCGGCAAUACCUACCUUCACGUACGUACCAGCUCUGUAGCUUGAUGAUAGUUGGUUGAGAUUGCGAUCUCCAUGGACACAUGAUCAAUCUCCACACCAUUGACUCCGAACCUGAAUGAAGAAGGUUGAAGCAGAAAGCAGGCAGCAUUAGAACUAGCAACAUUGGUAUCCCAACUAAAGUCCUCGAUGUGGACGUAGGGAUGAUCAAAUCCAACAAAAGUUCAUGAAUGCAAGUGUAUAAGUUGAUUAAAGACGAGAUUCUGCAUCAACAACAUUGGAAAUCAAUGAAGUAUAUAAUCUGGAAGUAGGGAUCAAAUCCGGCAGAGUUCAUGAAUGCAAGUGUAAGAAGGUGAUCAAAGACGAGACUUUUAACACAGUAAUCAGGAUCGUCUAAUGCAUAUUCAAUACUCCAAGCCACACAAGGGAAAGCAAGAAUCAAAUCACCAGCACGGAGACGAAAACAUGGUAUUCGAAUGCCAAACGGACUAAAAUCCUUUGUUGUGAGUACCACCAUUGUGGAAAACCAACAAUGGUAAUACAAAUCGACAAAAAUCAGAUCGUCAACACAGACCAAACAACUUGGUUCUUGCCUUUUGUUGUGAUUACACAUUCACCACCUCUAAUCAAUAGAAUAGUAGGCUGUGUAAAUCAAAAAACACUUAUCAGCAGUAGCAACCGAUUUGGCCAGCUGAAGAAUUCCAACAGAUCCACAGAGAUUUGCCUAUUCUAUGAACAAUGCUGUAAAGUGGGUCUCAACACUAAUCAACACAAAGGGUGGAGAAACCAAUCGAAUCUGAUAAAGGAAUCAUCUUCAAGCAAGCAUCAAGGAAGACACACAGAAGCAAGAAUCAAAUCACCAACACAGAGACGAAAAUGUGGGUGUUCAAGUGCCCAAACACACAUCAACUGCAAAAUUUUCAAAAAUUCACAGGGAAUCGGCUCUCUUCACAACGAUUAUGCAAAACCAAGUGGGUCAGUACUAAUCAACAAGGAACAUCGCAGAAAGUAAAAGGAAUGUUCUUUCACCUCCCGGAUAGUGAGGGAAGAAGCAGGAAACCACCAGCCGGAUAUCAUGACCGGAAACAUCACCAUCGUCGUCGAAAAACUGAAAAACCCUAAACCCCAACAGAGAUCGAGAGGAAAAGGAAGGAAGCGGAUGUGGAAGUGAAACAAUGGGGGAUCUUUAUUUAAAAAUAAAAAUGGGUUUCAGCUGCACAGUGCCCAAGGUUGGAUUUUUUGGACGCUGCUUUUCAAGUUCUUCUUUCUUUCUGUUUCCCGCUGUCCGUUUCUUUCAUUGAAUUGGUUUGAAAACUGCGGCAGCAAGCCAU